CCUUUAUGUUUAAUAACUCCUUCACUCUUGAUGCAGAUUGAGAUAUUGUAUGACUAUGGCAAGGAAGAGGUUGAACUAGUAUGAUAUUCUCCCAUGAAAUGAAUAAAAGAUUCAGAAAGUGCGGGCAUGCAAGGAGAGUUGCAUCCAGUCCUGUCUUCUUUUUUAGUGAUUUCAUCUAGCUUUGAACAAUGAAACGUUAAAUAUGUUUUCUGGUUUGAUAUUUAGAGAAAUGGGAAAUGGCAAUGGCACUAUGCUCACUUAAAAUUGACCGUUUAGUAGUUGUGAGCUGCAUACCAAGAAUUGCAAAAAUAAAUGUCAGAUUUUGAUUUGAAAUAGACAAAGUUGAGGAUUUGUUUGGCGUACAAUUUGUCGAAUUUCAGUAAUCAUUAUUCAUGUCUUAACCUUCUUUUUACAAGUAUUGUGAGCUAUCAAUAUCAUUAAUGUAUUGUUGUUUGAACAGUUUCUUGUUAUAAAAAAUUGUAUACUUGCCUUUA